CUAAUAAUGAUCGUCUAUUUUUUAAAAAGAAAUAAAAAUUCAAGGCGAUGGAUUUGGUCGACAUUCCACGCCCAUGGUCAGAACUCACCACUGCCUCCCUUGAAUUCGCGCGCAUUUUCACCGUUCUCAUUGGCCUGAUAAUGGAAGUUCCAGACGGCAGAAUUGUCUAUUAAGGUGUAGUCGAGAUCGUCAAAUCGUCAUAACAUGGUGCAUUUUAGUAGCAUCAAUAGAUUUAUCAUCAAAUCUAUCUACAGUGAGUUGCCUUUAAAUUACUUCAGCAGUUUCACGAAAUGUAUUCAUUCCCUUCCCCAAUCCAAACCCAGAAAACCCUUAAAGCAAUUCACCGAAAAUUCAAGAAAAGCAUCCAAAUCAAUGUGCAAAAAUGGGGUAGAGGACCCAAAAGUUUACAUGAGAAACACCAUUUCAAACAUAUAUAGAAUACUGAAGUAUUCAACUUGGGAAACUGCAAAAGAACACAUUUCAAAACUGGGUAUCAAAUGGGACUCUUACACUGUCAAUCAAGUGCUAAAAACUCAUCCACCAAUGGAGAAAGCUUGGCUUUUUUUCAACUGGGCUUCGGGGCUAAAAGGGUUUAAGCACGACCAAUUUACCUACACAACAAUGCUGGACAUAUUUGGAGAAGCUGGCAGGAUUUCAUCUAUGAAUUACGUGUUUAAACAAAUGCAAGAGAAAGGGAUAAUGAUCGAUGCUGUUACCUAUACUUCGCUUAUGCACUGGGUUUCGAGAUCGGGGGAUGUUGAUGGAGCUGUAAAAAUUUGGAAUGAAAUGAAGGAGAAUGGUUGUUAUCCUACUGUUGUUUCGUAUACAGCUUAUAUGAAGGUUUUGUUUGAUAAUAAGAGAGUUAAGGAGGCAACUGAUGUUUAUAGGGAGAUGCUUGAAUCUGGGAUUCCUCCAAAUUGCCACACGUAUACUGUCCUAAUGGAGUACCUUGUUCUUGCUGGCAAAUACCAAGAAGCCCUUGAGAUUUUCAGCAAAAUGCAAGAAGCAGGGGUACAACCUGAUAAAGCUUUAUGCAAUGUUUUGGUUGAGAGAUGUUGCAAAGCUGGUGAAACAAACGUGAUGACCCAAAUUCUUCAAUAUAUGAAAAACAAUCAUCUUUCUCUCCGUUACCCUAUCUUUAUGGAAGCUCUCAGAACUCUAAGAAUUGCUGGUGAGAGUGAUACCCUCCUCAGGCUAGUUAAUCCCCAUUGUGCUCCAGAAUCUAUCAAUAAUGAUGACUCACCUGCAAUCAUUGCAAAUGCUGAUGAUGAUUCUUUGGAGGGAGGACUUCUACUGAUUCUUUUGAAAAAGCAAAAUCUUGUGGCAAUUGACCAUUUACUUGCUGGGAUAAUAGAUAAGAGUAUCCUUUUGGAUUCUUGGAUUGUCGCAACUAUUAUUGAGGUAAACGGCAGGCAAUGCAGACCUGAUAGUGCUUUAUUGGCAUUUGAAUACAGUAUGAGAAUGGGCAUAGACCUUGAGAGAACAGCAUAUCUUGCCUUGAUAGGCAUGUUGAUAAGAUCAAAUACGUUUGUAAGGAUUGUGGAUAUUAUCAAGGGAAUGACUAGAGCUGGGCACUCUCUUGGACUUUAUCUAGGUUCUCUAUUAAUUUAUAGGCUUGGAUCUGCUAGAAGGCCUACUUGUGCUGCAAAGAUUUUUAAUUUAUUGCCCGAUGAACAGAAGUGCACUGCUACUUAUACUGCUAUGAUUGGUGUAUACUUCUCUGCUGGUAGUAUAGAUAAAGCACUUAAAACCUAUCAAACCAUGAAAAAGAAAGGGAUCAAGUCUUCUUUAGGUACGUAUAAUGUUCUAUUAGCUGGUCUAGAAGGAAGUGAUAGAAUAUGUGAAACAGAUACUUAUAGAAAGGAAAAGAAGAGUCUGAUGGCUGAUGGUUAUUGUUCAAACAGUGUUCCUAUGGAAGAAAAGAUAUGUGACCUCCUCUUUGCUGGGGGUUUGGCAUAUUGACUAUCUACUUUGGGUCACAGCAUCCCCUGCUGAGUGUAAUUUCUGGUUGAUCAGGGUGCUUGGAAGCCAAUGCUCCUCUCGUAAGUUUAGAGCAUACGAACAUGCAUGGGGAAAUGGUAGGGGUCAAUAGCUACUGAUUUUUAUCUGGAUUGCAAUUUCAGCAACCCAUUAUGAAACGUGUCUUUAUCGACCAUCAGAAACUCAGGCAUGACUGUAUUGUGUUUCUGGGUUUUCUCCAAGUUUCUCAUUGAUACAAUGAGGUGUACAUGAUUUCACCCCUUCCAAGUUCCAACUACUCCACCAAUGUCAUGCAAAUGAAAACACGCUGAUGAGAUCUCUUGCUGCUUCAGCACUUUAUGCCAACUUCAUUUGGGGUUCAGAUCCAAAGUACUUCCUCUUGGAAUCAUCAUCUACUAUAGUGAUAUGCUCAGAAUCAGUUUUCAUGACUAGGAUUUAAGAAUCAACGUCUUUGUCCUCGUAGGUCAUGGAGUCCUUUCUUAGAGUAAUUAACAGUGACAAAGGCCUGAACCAGGUACUCAUCCAGAUUUAACAGUUCCGUAAAAGAACAAUUACAGUGGAGUAUAUGAGAAAUUUCAAUAUCAUAUGCAUUAUAACUUUACUAGCAAAUAUGCCCUUAUCUCUGCCUAUCAAGGAUAGCCUGGUUGGUCUUCCUUCUCCGGAGCGGGUGAGAUCUUGAGUUCGAGUGUCCACAUCUAUCUAUUAUUGAGAUAUUUAGAGCUACCUCCCAUUGUAUAGCUUAGUUGAAUUCGGCCUUUUUCCCUCAUCCGUAUGAUUAAAAAAAACAGAUCUUAUCUCUCAUUGUUUUCAGAUGUAUACCGACUGUAUGGAUACUUUGAAUGUAGAUCCAAUGGAUAGACAAGUGAAGGAGCUUUAUGUUAUUUGUUUAAUGGAAUUUAUUGAUUGGCAAAGCAAAUUACUCUAGGAAAGUGCAUUCAUGUCUCUUCUUUGUGGGUACAUUAAGCAUCUCUGCAGGCAGAGUUCUGUCUUACGAUACAAUAUUAUGGAUUAUUUUAUCUGUA